CUUCCGCAAUGGACGCAAGUCUGACGGAGCAACGCCGCGUGAGUGAUGAAGGUUUNCGNNUCGUANANCUCUGUUGUUAGGGANNNNNAAGUACCGUUCACAUAGGUCGGUACCUUGACGGUACCUAACCAGAAAGCCACGGCUAACUACGUGCCAGCAGCCGCGGUAAUACGUAGGUGGCAAGCGUUAUCCGGAAUUAUUGGGCGUAAAGCGCGCGCAGGCGGUUUCUUAAGUCUGAUGUGAAAGCCCACGGCUCAACCGUGGAGGGUCAUUGGAAACUGGGGAACUUGAGUGCAGAAGAGGAGAGUGGAAUUCCAUGUGUAGCGGUGAAAUGCGUAGAGAUAUGGAGGAACACCAGUGGCGAAGGCGACUCUCUGGUCUGCAACUGACGCUGAGGCGCGAAAGCGUGGGGAGCAAACA
rnacentral:rRNA from 1 species